rnacentral:rRNA from 1 species
UACCAGCACCCCGAGUGGUCGGGACGAUUAUUGGGCCUAAAGCAUCCGUAGCCGGUUCUACAAGUCUUCCGUUAAAUCCACCUGCUUAACAGAUGGGCUGCGGAGGAUACUAUAGAGCUAGGAGGCGGGAGAGGCAAGCGGUACUUAGUGGGUAGGGGUAAAAUCCGUUGAUCCAUUGAAGACCACCAGCGGCGAAGGCGGCUUGCCAGAACGCACUCGACGGUGAGGGAUGAAAGCUGGGGGAGCAAACCGG